rnacentral:rRNA from 1 species
UAGGGAAUCUUCCACAAUGGGACGCAAGUCUGAUGGAGCAACGCCGCGUGAGUGAAGAAGGGUUUCGGCUCGUAAAGCUCUGUUGUAAGAGAAGAACGUGUGUGAGAGUGGAAAGUUCACACAGUGACGGUAACUUACCAGAAAGUCACGGCUAACUACGUGCCAA